UUUCCCCUACAAUACUAGGAACGUACACACUCACUUGAUGCAAAACACGAGUGAGUGCGAGUUCCACCUUCACACCUUACCAAGUGACAGACAAUUCGAGCAGUUUGAGCUCGAGCAAAAGACCGGACAGCCCUGUUGUCGUUGUGUUCACUCACAGAGGGCACCACAUGUACAACAGGGUGGGCAAACCAAGAGCAUAACAAAAAGCGAGCAUAGCCGUAACAACGCAACAUUAUGAAAAAUUGCGUGAUAAAAAGGGAAUCGGGACGGGGGCAAAUUCUCUUUGUACCGUGAUCCUCGAAAGAAUUAGUAGUGCGCGCGUGUGUAAUUGUCUAAUAUUGAGGUUCGAAUUGUUUUACAAUACCUCUUUGUUUGGUGAAAUGUUUAAUUUCUUUGUGUUGAUUCUUUUAUUCAAUAAUUUAGGAUCAGUGUCGUUAAAGUCGUAAAAUUGUUAAAAAUUGUUAUAACAAAAAUAUAGUAGUUACGAGUGAUUGUUAGAAUGUUAGUUUGUUAAAAGAACAAAGUACGAAACAAACUAGUACGAAAAACGACAAAUAAGAACGAAAAACGAACAAACAAGUUAAAAGUUAGUAGAAAAAGGUCCGUGUCAAUGGGCCUUUUUCUUUUAUCCUUUUCUCGAGUGUGAUUCCGGUGAUGUGCCUCCCGGACGAGUGAGCAGUGACGUUGUAACUUCGACGAAAGAACAGUGUUCCGGCAGCAAGAUGGCCGGAGUGAUCCUGUAAACCGGCGGCUGGCCCGUUUACAGUUGUGGUGUUCUCGGUCCGCCAUUGUGAAUCCUCGAACUGUAUCCCCAACCACGAACUGCAUCUCCAAGCAAUCGCCAUCUUCCGUGAACCGCUCGGAUGUUCCAGUACAACCGUAAGUCAGACCAGCCUCCUUCAACAAGUUCAGGCCGAGUCGGCCAACCAUAGCCACACCCCACCUCACGGGUGGCCAAGAUGCCGUUAUUUCAGACCACGACAAUUGUUUGUUACCUGCAUGCAUGCCUGUACCCUAUAUAGUGACGUCACAAAUAAAAUUGU